AUGGAAAUGGGAGACAAGGCGGUCGGCCUUGUGUUGACCAUGACGAGUUUAUCCAUCUUUACCUACUACACUUUCUGGGUCAUAAUCUUGCCAUUUGUUGACGAUGACCAUUUUGUCCACCAAUACUUUCUACCUCAAGAAUACGCCAUCUUCAUCCCUGUGUUUGCCGGUGUGGUGCUACUUUCGUUCUUAAGUAUAUUCAUCGGUCUUGUGAUGCUGAAAUCGAAGAAAAAGAAGGCUGCUUGA
rnacentral:rRNA from 1 species